AUCUUUCUAGUAUUAGCAUUAGUAUAAGUGACUUCCAAUCACCCGGUCUUGGUUAGAACCCAAGGAAAGAUA
rnacentral:tRNA from 1 species